rnacentral:rRNA from 1 species
UCAGAUUGAACGCUGGCGGCAUGCUUUACACAUGCAAGUCGAACGGUAACAGGUCUUCGGAUGCUGACGAGUGGCGAACGGGUGAGUAAUACAUCGGAACGUGCCUAGUAGUGGGGGAUAACUACUCGAAAGAGUAGCUAAUACCGCAUGAGAUCUACGGAUGAAAGCAGGGGACCUUCGGGCCUUGUGCUACUAGAGCGGCUGAUGGCAGAUUAGGUAGUUGGUGGGGUAAAGGCUUACCAAGCCUGCGAUCUGUAGCUGGUCUGAGAGGACGACCAGCCACACUGGGACUGAGACACGGCCCAGACUCCUACGGGAGGCAGCAGUGGGGAAUUUUGGACAAUGGGCGAAAGCCUGAUCCAGCAAUGCCGCGUGCAGGAUGAAGGCCCUCGGGUUGUAAACUGCUUUUGUACGGAACGAAAAGCCUGGGGCUAAUAUCCCCGGGUCAUGACGGUACCGUAAGAAUAAGCACCGGCUAACUACGUGCCAGCAGCCGCGGUAAUACGUAGGGUGCAAGCGUUAAUCGGAAUUACUGGGCGUAAAGCGUGCGCAGGCGGUUUUGUAAGACAGUGGUGAAAUCCCCGGGCUCAACCUGGGAACUGCCAUUGUGACUGCAAGGCUAGAGUGCGGCAGAGGGGGAUGGAAUUCCGCGUGUAGCAGUGAAAUGCGUAGAUAUGCGGAGGAACACCGAUGGCGAAGGCAAUCCCCUGGGCCUGCACUGAC